UACGGGGGGGGCAAGCGUUGUUCGGAAUUACUGGGCGUAAAGGGCUCGUAGGCGGCCAACCAAGUCAGACGUGAAAUCCCUCGGCUUAACCGGGGAACUGCGUCUGAUACUGGAUGGCUUGAGGUUGGGAGAGGGAUGCGGAAUUCCAGGUGUAGCGGUGAAAUGCGUAGAUAUCUGGAGGAACACCGGUGGCGAAGGCGGCAUCCUGGACCAAUUCUGACGCUGAGGAGCGAAAGCCAGGGGAGCAAACGGG
rnacentral:rRNA from 1 species